UGAGGAAUCUUGCGCAAUGGGGGAAACCCUGACGCAGCAACGCCGCGUGAGUGAAGAAGGCCUUCGGGUCGUAAAGCUCUGUCGGGUGGGAAGAAACGUAUGGAGGUAAAUAAUCUUCAUACUUGACGGUACCGCCAAAGGAAGCACCGGCUAACUCCGUGCCAGCAGCCGCGGUACUACGGGGGGUGCAAGCGUUGUUCGGAAUUAUUGGGCGUAAAGAGCGUGUAGGCGGCGUGAUAAGUCAGAUGUGAAAGCCCUGGGCUUAACCCAGGAAGUGCAUUUGAAACUGGCAUGCUUGAGUACGGGAGAGGGAAGAGGAAUUCCUGGUGUAGAGGUGAAAUGCGUAGAUAUCAGGAGGAACACCGGUGGCGAAUGCGACUUCCUGGCCCGAUACUGACGCUGAGACGCGAGAGCGUGGGGAGCAAACA
rnacentral:rRNA from 1 species